CUGCUGUAAAUAGCGCAUCACACAGACAGAACACAACUGCUGCUGACCGGAGAGAGAAGCAGAACGGCUGAUUACUGCAAAUUCGGUCUACAAUGUGGUCCACUUGUCUUUGCACCCUGGGAAGGGCAAUGCUGUUGCAUGGCAGUAUUUUUUUCACCACUGAUGGGAAUAAGUAUACUGGCAGACGGGGAGUGAGCAGAAGAUGAGGACGGUGGUGCAGAGUGAUGGCCAUCAGCCCUGCAUGUCAACAGCUUCAUUCAGUCCAAAAUGAUGUUUAAAUGGAGGACUUCACAGAGAGGGUCAGUGGCCUGUUUGUCACCACCCAUGUGUCCUGCAUUUAGGGGUGAGGGUUAUAAGACACUUGUUGUUGUUUUUGCUAAUUUUAAGAUGGUUUACUUUUUAUAUAGUUUUAAGAUAAAUCAAGUUCUCUCUUAGGACAUUGAUUCCAAAUCCAGCUCUCAAGAUGCAUCUGUUUGUUUCAUUUAUAUUCUUGCACACUUAAAAUGCUUUCAUGGCUGUAAAAUGUUGAUGCACUGUACUCUGGGUAGCAAACACAAUACUAAAAUGUUUUGAAAUGUUUUAAUAAAAAUACUUUUGUAAAUAUGUUUGG